rnacentral:lncRNA from 1 species
CUAGAUGAUUAUACAAUAGGGACGAAAUCAAAUAUUCUUCAUUGCAGGAUCAAAAAUCAAGUACAUCGUUCUCAAUAUACAUUGUUAGCCUAUCAUUCAAUCAUCCAUCUCCAAUCCAAACACAUAGUUGAUUCUUGUCAUUCUUCAUUGUAGAAAAUAUUUUCUACUCUGUAAUAGUAGCAACUCGAAUAAUGCUAAUGUUACAUGCCUGUGAAGUGACGAGUACACUUCAUUUUUUUCAUUACAACCAACUUUUGUGCAAGGUCACGAAAGACACGUAAUCCUUUAACUUAUUUUUAUUGAACAUGUUAAUAAUUUGUUCAUCAAGUAUCAAAAGGUCUACGGGCGUAAAAUCUUAGGGUAACACUCAUACAUACAAAAUUAAUUGUUCAUAUCACCAAAGAAAAUAAAUUAAUCAAAGCAGCACAAAUACAUCAUUAUUUAUCUCCGAAAAUGGGUCAUUCAACUUUUAAACUUUCAUAUCAAUGAUAUCAUAAAAGAACUCCACACUGAAGAGAUGCAAAUUCAUUUUCCCUGAAUGUUACAGCGAAACGAUCUAAAGGUAUAAAUAUUUCAUCCAUGUUGAUAACAUCAAUAUUCUGCUUUUUCCAUAAAAGAUGAUAUCACAUCAAUGUAACUCAAUAUUAUGCUAGGAUGUUAAUGAUAUGCCUAAGUAAAUUGAACUGAAUAGGUAAACGUGCCAAGUUACUAAUGCAAAUUUUAAAAUACCACCUAAAAUGUGUUAAAAAUCAUUUACAUGCAUGAAUUUCUAAAUAUGGCCCUAAAAUACUAAUGCAAUAUCUAAAAAUUUACUUGUAAUACAAUACUUAAUCAAAAGAAGAGACAAGUGAUAGAAAAAUGGAUUGUCUCCCAUUAAGUGCCUAAUUUAAAGUCUAGAGCCCCACUUUUUCACUAUCUCAUCAAUAAAUAAAAAUAGGGAAUUUCUCCUUAAUCGCUAAGUAACUACCUUAGUUGGAUGUGGGAAGGUGGGAAAGCAGCAAUCCAUAAGGUUCAUUUUUUUUUUUUUUUUGGGUUUAGUGUUUUAUGGCACUUUGAAUAUGGCUUUAGAGAUCCUGCUUAACUUGCUUAAUUUCACUUUGUUUCAUAUUGCAACUUUCCUCCAAAUUUUCACCUUGUCCUUAUUCAAGUAGUAUGACUUACCCUUACUAUCCUUUUUGAACUCAACAAUGUACACCUCAACUUCCUCAUAAAUUUCAAUCACAAACUCAAUUUUUGAGCAAGCGAUGAAGUUUAGGAAUUGCAUGCUAAUUUCCUCUUCUUCGAAUACUAUAAGUUCUUUUUCGCCUGUUAUGUUUAAUUUCUCGAUCUUUUCGUGCUCCUCUUAUUUAAUUGAAAUUUUCUCGACUUAAACGUUUGUAAUCAAAACUUUUGGUAAAGAAAGACAUUUUCAUGGAGAGUCUUCUUCUCUUGUUGUAUUUGUAAAAAGUUCUAUUGAUAUGAUUCCCUUAAUCGAUGUCCAUUAAUAACCGGUAAGAAGAAAUAAUAUCAUAGGCAAAUCACCUACAUCAACUUAUGGUGAGAGAAAUAAUGCAACAUGUAAGUCACCCAUGACGGUUUUAUCAAGUUUACAUUCUACUUUUAUAUCUCGUAGUUGUUGUCCCUCAUCAAUUUCUUGAGUUGUCAAUUGUUGUUGCCUUAUGAAGAAGUCAUAUACGAGCAUCUUAUUGAAAUCAAUCACAUUUAUUUUUUAUCCUACUAUUUUUUUCUUUUAUAUAUCCUGAAAGGGAGAGAAAAAAGGGCAAAAAACUAAAAUGGAACGAAAAUAAAAAUACAAUAAUACAGGUAGAAGUCCGAAUUAGUACAAAGGCAAAUAAAAUUAAACCAAAACUCAAUCUUUGACAAUGACACAAAAAAAUUGUUCACAAAAAUAUUUUUUGAAUUAAAACCACCACAAGUGUACGAACCAUUAACAAAUAAUAAAGUGAAUUUGAGUCCAUGUAUUGUCUCAAAGAGAUUGAUUUAGUUUAAUUUUAAUUAUCGUGACCUUUACCUAAAUAAUAAUAAGGUGAUGUGUUUGUUUUGUAACAAAAUUAUAACCAAAACAAUCUACUUAUACAAUUAUCAGUAAAUUAACUAAAAUAAAUGCAAGUUAAUGUAUUUUAAAGAAUGACGAGCAAUAGGAUCGCAAAUUCUCCCAUGUAAUAAUUCUUUUUUAACUUUUGUUUUACACCUUGACAAUACGAAUGAAUUUUGAAGAAUCAAUGCUCCUAUUUUAUUUAACAAUCAUUCUCAACUAAUAUUAAACCUACUCUCAUAUAUGACACAACUAUAUUUUUACAAUAGAUGCUAGCAUACAAGAUUACAUGAAUUUUUAUGAACUCUCAAAAAUUCACAUAGAGUAUAGCGAUAUAGUUUCAUCUCCUAUUGGACCCUAUAACAAUUUACACAUAUUGAGCCUAUUUUCAUUCUUUCGAAUGCAUAACAUAAGCCACCAAAUUCAUACAACUACUGUGCACAAUAAUCGUAGAGAAAAGAUUAUUAUGCAAAUAAUUCAAAAUCCAAAAAAUGUGUUUUCAAUGUCAAAUAUGUGAAACUAAAAAUUAACAACUCAUAUUACAUCGUUUAUCGUUCUCAUAGUACAAAGAAAUCUAGCCUAAUAUGUUGUGAAGAAGAAAGCAAAAGAUAUAAAGUUGUUUAUCACCUGAAAAUUCUUGAAUUCAAUCUUGAUGUGUUCUUUGCCUCCUUUUGGAAUCAAUUCUCCACCCUAAUUUUGUUUUGAGAGUUGGUAUUUAUAUUCCCUCUAAAGAAUCCCAAAAGUCUCUAAAAUGUUUAUAUCAUCACCAAAACAGAAGUUUUCUUUUUGGAAUUGAAUUAUGAAGAAAAUCGAAUUGUUUGGCUGAAUUGGUCUGGGUAAGCGUCCAGUAGUAAACGGGGCGGCUGCCCAGGCAUACUAGAAUAGCCCCAGUAAUUGAGGUUAAGG